UUCGGGGUACACGAGCGGCGAACGGGUGAGUAACACGUGGGUGAUCUGCCUCGCACUCUGGGAUAAGCCUGGGAAACUGGGUCUAAUACCGGAUAUGACCUUACAUCGCAUGGUGUUUGGUGGAAAGAUUUAUCGGUGCGAGAUGGGCCCGCGGCCUAUCAGCUUGUUGGUGGGGUAAUGGCCUACCAAGGCGACGACGGGUAGCCGGCCUGAGAGGGCGACCGGCCACACUGGGACUGAGACACGGCCCAGACUCCUACGGGAGGCAGCAGUGGGGAAUAUUGCACAAUGGGCGAAAGCCUGAUGCAGCGACGCCGCGUGAGGGAUGACGGCCUUCGGGUUGUAAACCUCUUUCGACAGGGACGAAGCGCAAGUGACGGUACCUGUAGAAGAAGCACCGGCCAACUACGUGCCAGCAGCCGCGGUAAUACGUAGGGUGCGAGCGUUGUCCGGAAUUACUGGGCGUAAAGAGCUUGUAGGCGGCUUGUCGCGUCGAUCGUGAAAACUUGGGGCUCAACCCCAAGCUUGCGGUCGAUACGGGCAGGCUUGAGUACUUCAGGGGAGACUGGAAUUCCUGGUGUAGCGGUGAAAUGCGCAGAUAUCAGGAGGAACACCGGUGGCGAAGGCGGGUCUCUGGGAAGUAACUGACGCUGAGAAGCGAAAGCGUGGGUAGCGAACAGGAUUAGAUACCCUGGUAGUCCACGCCGUAAACGGUGGGUACUAGGUGUGGGUUUCCUUCCACGGGAUCCGUGCCGUAGCUAACGCAUUAAGUACCCCGCCUGGGGAGUACGGCCGCAAGGCUAAAACUCAAAGGAAUUGACGGGGGCCCGCACAAGCGGCGGAGCAUGUGGAUUAAUUCGAUGCAACGCGAAGAACCUUACCUGGGUUUGACAUACACCGGAAACCUGCAGAGAUGUAGGCCCCCUUGUGGUCGGUGUACAGGUGGUGCAUGGCUGUCGUCAGCUCGUGUCGUGAGAUGUUGGGUUAAGUCCCGCAACGAGCGCAACCCUUAUCUUAUGUUGCCAGCGCGUAAUGGCGGGGACUCGUGAGAGACUGCCGGGGUCAACUCGGAGGAAGGUGGGGACGACGUCAAGUCAUCAUGCCCCUUAUGUCCAGGGCUUCACACAUGCUACAAUGGCCGGUACAGAGGGCUGCGAUACCGUGAGGUGGAGCGAAUCCCUUAAAGCCGGUCUCAGUUCGGAUCGGGGUCUGCAACUCGACCCCGUGAAGUUGGAGUCGCUAGUAAUCGCAGAUCAGCAACGCUGCGGUGAAUACGUUCCCGGGCCUUGUACACACCGCCCGUCACGUCAUGAAAGUCGGUAACACCCGAAGCC
rnacentral:rRNA from 1 species